GACGAACGCUGGCGGCGUGCCUAAUACAUGCAAGUAGGACGCAGUUGCGAACGGGUGAGUAACGCGUAGGUAACUGCCUAUUAGAGGGGGAUAACUAUUGGAAACGAUACCUAAUACCGCAUACUAGUAGAUGUACCUGCGUUGUAUUAGCUAGUAGGUAGGGUAAUGGCCUACCUAGGCAACGAUACAUAGCCGACCGGCGAGGGUGACCGGCCACACUGGGACUGAGCAACGGCCCAGACUCCUACGGGAGGCAGCAGUGGGGAAUUUUGGAAAAUGGGGGAAACCCUGAUCCAGCCAUCCCGCGUGUGCGAUGAAGGCCUUCGGGUUGUAAAGCACUUUUGGCAGGAAAGCGGUACCUGCAGAAUAAGCACCGGCUAACUACGUGCCAGCAGCCGCGGUAAUUC
rnacentral:rRNA from 1 species